CGGACGGGUGAGUAACACGUGGAUAACCUACCUAUAAGACUGGGAUAACUUCGGGAAACCGGAGCUAAUACCGGAUAAUAUUUUUAACCGCAUGGUUCAAAAGUGAAAGACGGUCUUGCUGUCACUUAUAGAUGGAUCCGCGCUGCAUUAGCUGGUUGGUAAGGUAACGGCUUACCAAGGCAACGAUGCAUAGCCGACCUGAGAGGGUGAUCGGCCACACUGGAACUGAGACACGGUCCAG
rnacentral:rRNA from 1 species